AGGUAACAGGUACCAGCUACUGUCAGCAGGGAGGAAGGUAUGUGGUGACCACGAGUCCAGACCUGAGGGUCCUGACCCUCUAAUGCGGCCUCUCACCAGUGUUCGCAGAAACCCACCCGCUGAUUCAAUACGGGGACCAGGAACCUGCCAUGACAGUCACGGUGUGUUUGGGUUUUUAUUGUCAUUUUUGAGGGGCACUGUGUGCUUUGGUUAAGACUGAGGCCUCAAAAGAGAAUUUUAGGAAAAUGGAAGCCACAGGGUGAUGUCAGCUGGGAAAAGGCCAGGGGCAGAGGUGGGGUCUCAGCGGCAGUGAGCAUAGGGCUGCCCUGGGUGUCAACACUGAGGAAAGCAAAGGGGUUUGCAAGCAGCCAGAAGUGAUUGGUGCUGUGACUCAUGGGGGAGCUGACCCCACUCGGAAAAGGAGAACCCAGAGGAGGAAAAUCCCGUGGUGAUGACACAGAGGCGACAUCAAGUUGGGUGGGAGAGAAUGUGAGGAGGACAAGUUUAACCCCAAACUGAGGCUGGGGGCUAGGGUAGGUUUGAGUCCAGAGA
rnacentral:lncRNA from 1 species